rfam:Triticum aestivum genome assembly, contig: Triticum_aestivum_CS42_TGACv1_scaffold_424948_5BS
GGAUGCGAUCAUACUAGCACUAAAGCGCUGGAUCCCAUCAGAACUCCGAAGUUAAGCGUGCUUGGGCGAGAGUAGUACUACAUUCUCACUACCAUUACAUUCCAUGUUGCAUUCC